rnacentral:rRNA from 1 species
UACGGGGGGGGCAAGCGUUGUUCGGAUUUACUGGGCGUAAAGGGCGCGCAGGCGGUCCUGUUUGUCGAGUGUGAAAGCCCCGGGCUCAACCUGGGAAUGGCGCUCGAAACGGCGGGACUAGAGAUCGGGAGAGGAGCGUGGAAUUCCCAGUGUAGAGGUGAAAUUCGUAGAUAUUGGGAAGAACACCGGUGGCGAAGGCGGCGCUCUGGACCGAGACUGACGCUGAGGCGCGAAAGCGUGGGGAGCAAACAGG